UACGUAGGGUGCGAGCGUUGUCCGGAAUUACUGGGCGUAAAGAGCUCGUAGGUGGUUUGUCGCGUUGUUCGUGAAAUCUCACGGCUUAACUGUGAGCGUGCGGGCGAUACGGGCAGACUAGAGUACUGCAGGGGAGACUGGAAUUCCUGGUGUAGCGGUGGAAUGCGCAGUUAUCGGGAGGAACACCGGUGGCGAAGGCGGUUCUCUGGGCCUGUACUGACGCUGAGGAGCGAAAGCGUGGGGAGCGAACAGG
rnacentral:rRNA from 1 species